GCCACCGGCCCGCCCCUCCCCGCCACCGCAGCCCGCCCCUCCACUGUUCCAGGCCGCGGCGCCGCCCCCUCCCCCAACCCUCGAGGCUCUUUCCCCUUCCCCCAACCCUAGCCGCCGCACGCAGCAGCCAUGGCGGACCGCACCUUCAGCGCCGGCAGCUGCCGCUCGUCCAUGCUGUGAAGCCAUCCCCGCCCUGCUCGCCUCCGUCCGCCGCCGUCGCGGACCAUCUCCUCCGUCCCCGACCACACAUCCCCGCCCUCGUCUGCCGCCAUCACCGACCGGCUCCUCCGUCCCCAACAAGUCAUCCCCGUCCUGCUCGCCGUCUUCCGCCGAAGAACCCGGCGGCUGUGUCGAUUCUCUGCCUCCCCGACCACCUCUUCCGAUUUUGCGAAGGUAAUGCUUGUUGGAAUUGGAGUCUUUGUUAUCAUUCUUGGUCAAGAUUUUGCACAUAGUUGGAUGCUGGUCAUUUUAGGCGUGGACACACAUGGCCACCUACCGCCCAUCGCCGGGCACCGAGCUUGUUGUCCCGUCAUGCAUCUCGAUGGUGUGCCUCUCAAUUUAGCCUAGGAGAAAAUCAAAUGGUUAAAUAUGGGUUAUCAGCUCAAGUGCGCAGAUUAGAAGUUCGGCCAUGUUUUUGCCAUUGUCGGGAUGCUGGUCAUUUUAGGCAUGGACGCACAUGGCCACAUGCCGCCCAUCGCCAGGAGCCGAGCUUGUCGUCCCGUCGUGCAUCUCGAUGGUGUGCCGCUCAAUUUAGCCUCGGAGAAAAUCAAAUGGUUAAAUAUGGGUUAUGUCCUCUUACACUGAAAGGUUAAUUGUUUUGCACUAUUACAUCUGACAAAGGAAGUCUUGGGUUAAAGGUAAUUCCAUGUCUACUGGUGACGCUCGCGCUGGAAACCAGAGGUGGCAUCUUGGUCUUCUCCAUGCGAACACCACAUCUCCGACGGUGCAGCCAUGGCACGAGGGCGCCGAGCUGAUCUCCCAAGGCUCCUCGCCGACGCAUGACAAUGCCCACCUCCAUGCUGAUUGAGCUUUUCCACUUGUCCAACAUGAUCAAUUAUCUGUUAUAGAAUUUAUGCUAUCAGUUGUUUGUAGUUGUGCUCUGAAUAGAUGUCCCCUGCUUGUAAUAGAUAAUCACACUUUGCUAUAAUACAUUGAAGAGCCAGUGCUUCUAUGCAGCAACCCCACACAAAUUGUAAACAAGAAUAUGAAAGGCACGUGUACCAACCUGGCACCGCCCCAAUCACCUCUCAGGUGGCGCCAUAGGGUGGCGCCAAUGAAGGCUCGCUUGCCAAGGGCUGGUGGUUAAAGUCUCUUUUAUUGGUGCGGUAGUGGUGAGCGCAAUGCAUGGUGCAGUAGCCUGGAGAGGCGUCCAAAGCGGCUUAGGAAGGGACGCACCUGUGACCACACCUGUGAAGCGACAAUGAACAUGGCUAAUGCCAACACUCCAUGGCUGCAAUUGAGGAAGAGAGAGCAAAGACCCAGGAGCUUCUGGCGGACGAAAGGAGGCAGGCGGCGGAGAGGGAGAGGGAGAUUGAGGAGAGGGCGGCUAGGCUUUUGCUGGAGGAGAGGAACCGGAACGACUUGGCUAACCGGGCCAUAUACCAGCUCUUCGCGUCCAUGUGCGAGAAGAACAGUCAGACCCCUCCGCCGAUGCCAGUCAUUGCUCCGGCGGACACGCAUAACUCCCGACAAGCAUCGACGUCUGCCAUUGGCGCGAGCAAGAACCCCGAUCCUCCUCCGUCUGCCACUACCGCGAGCAAGAACCUCGAUCCUUCACCUACCGGUUGACGAUUUGCUUCAGAUCACGGAAGCUUGGGUUGAUGGAGUGCUUGUCUUUA